rnacentral:rRNA from 1 species
CGGCGGCAGCUACACAUGCAAGUCGAGCGAGAUCUUCGGAUCUAGCGGCGGACGGGUGAGUAACGCGUGGGAACGUACCCUCUUCUGCGGGAUAGCCACUGGAAACGGUGAGUAAUACCGCAUACGCCCUUCGGGGGAAAGAUUUAUCGGAGGAGGAUCGGCCCGCGUUGGAUUAGGUAGUUGGUGGGGUAAUGGCCUACCAAGCCUACGAUCCAUAGCUGGUUUUAGAGGAUGAUCAGCCACACUGGGACUGAGACACGGCCCAGACUCCUACGGGAGGCAGCAGUGGGGAAUCUUAGACAAUGGGCGCAAGCCUGAUCUAGCCAUGCCGCGUGAGUGACGAAGGCCUUAGGGUCGUAAAGCUCUUUCGCCUGUGAUGAUAAUGACAGUAGCAGGUAAAGAAACCCCGGCUAACUCCGUGCCAGCAGCCGCGGUAAUACGGAGGGGGUUAGCGUUGUUCGGAAUUACUGGGCGUAAAGCGCACGUAGGCGGAUUGGAAAGUAUGGGGUGAAAUCCCAGGGCUCAACCCUGGAACGGCCUCAUAAACUUCCAGUCUGGAGUUCGAGAGAGGUGAGUGGAAUUCCGAGUGUAGAGGUGAAAUUCGUAGAUAUUCGGAGGAACACCAGUGGCGAAGGCGGCUCACUGGCUCGAUACUGACGCUGAGGUGCGAAAGUGUGGGGAGCAAACAGGAUUAGAUACCCUGGU